rnacentral:rRNA from 1 species
GAUGAACGCUGACGGCGUGCCUAAUACAUGCAAGUCGAGCGAACGGACGAGAAGCUUGCUUCUCUGAUGUUAGCGGCGGACGGGUGAGUAACACGUGGAUAACCUACCUAUAAGACUGGGAUAACUUCGGGAAACCGGAGCUAAUACCGGAUAAUAUUUUGAACCGCAUGGUUCAAUAGUGAAAGACGGUCUUGCUGUCACUUAUAGAUGGAUCCGCGCUGCAUUAGCUAGUUGGUAAGGUAACGGCUUACCAAGGCAACGAUGCAUAGCCGACCUGAGAGGGUGAUCGGCCACACUGGAACUGAGACACGGUCCAGACUCCUACGGGAGGCAGCAGUAGGGAAUCUUCCGCAAUGGGCGAAAGCCUGACGGAGCAACGCCGCGUGAGUGAUGAAGGUCUUCGGAUCGUAAAACUCUGUUAUUAGGGAAGAACAUAUGUGUAAGUAACUGUGCACAUCUUGACGGUACCUAAUCAGAAAGCCACGGCUAACUACGUG